GCGGUUUUUCCUCCGCGAAAAUCAAAAAGGAAUCCGGUCAGAGCCCGGAACUGACGCGCAGCGGUAGAAGGGACGCUGAUGCAACAUCACACUGGGAUGAUCCUGGGAAGUGGCAUUCAGCGGUCAGCCACCUUUGAGUCCGAAGACUUGCCCCGGCAAC
rnacentral:ncRNA from 1 species